rnacentral:lncRNA from 1 species
AGAGUAUCCUGAGAGAGCCAUGUUUCCAUGAAACAAAGUAUGUUACCGGCCCGAUGUCUCUCUGGAAAGAAAUCCUUGCUCUAAGCUCAUCAACUUUGUUAUCAAAAGACUGAACAUUUCCAAGUAAUAUACUCGGAAGCCGUGGGUGGUGUGCGUGCCUCCUAAGUUGAACCAGCAGGCCGCCUCGAGUGCCUCUCCUCUGCCGGCGAUGUUUUGGGGUGGCCUCUGGAAUAAGUUAAAUUGCUUUGGGGAGAGUGAACAAAGGAUCUGCUCCAGGGAAGUUGUAUUCCUGGUCAUAAUGCUGGUAGUUCUGUGAGCCCCAACUGUCCCUUUGGGAGAAGUAUGACGGCACUCCAUCGAAAUGCCGUGGCUUCCUACUCCAGUGAAUUCCCUGCUGUCCGGACGAGUGUGUGGAGUGGGCUACGGCCAUCUGGGAGAGAGAAGAGGAGGAGCUGGGUGCCUAUGAGAGGUUCAGGGCGGUCUACGACCAUCCUCCUGAGAGGGAGGUGAGCAAAUUUUCCAACUACAGCAGGGUUCCCAGACAGUUGAGGAGUAUGACCUCACCUUUCGGACUAUGGCAGCCUUCAGUGGAUGGAAUGAGGUGGCGCUCCUUACUCUAAUCAGCAGUGGACUGCGCAAAGAGGUCCAGAUGGAGUUGGGAUGACAACAUAUCCUUGGAUGCUCUCAUUGCAAUGGCCAUCCGUCUGGAUAACCUUCUUCGGGAGCAUCAGUGUCCAACUCACCCCCCCCCCCCCCCUUUGGCUGUUCUGAGGCAGAGCCUGAACCCAUAGAGGUAGGGGCCACACACUUCUCUGUAGCAGAGCGGCGUUGCUGGAGAUAGCUGGAGCUCUGCCCCUAUUGAGGCCAGGAGGGGUAUCAGCUUCAGUGGUGUUCGGUACGUCCUAACCCAUGGUCCACUAGAGCAGAAGGGCGGCCCUAUGAGCAGAAGGGCGGCCCUAUGAGCAGAAGGGCGGCCCUAUGAGCAGAAGGGCGGCCCUAUGAGCAGAAGGGCGGCCCUAUGAGCAGAAGGGCGGCCUUCCGUCUCUCAGUCUACCUACCUCUCUCCGGGUCGCUGAGGCACUAUUCGGGUUGGUUUUCUGGCACUAUGGCCUUCUGGAGGACAUCGUUUCCGACCAUGGUCCACCAAUUCACGUCGCAGGUCUGGAAAGCCUUUAUGGAGAAGCUGGGGGCCACGGUCAGCCUCACAUCCGGGUACCGGCCUAACGGGCAUGUGGAGAGGCCCAACCAAGAGCUGGGGGGGUUCCUAAGGAGUCACUGGCAGGGGGAGUGGGCCCGGUUCCUUCCCUGCACGGAAUACGCACAGAACUCACUUCGUUACUCCACCGAGCUGACUCCCUUCCAGUGCGUCCUGGGAUAUCAGCCGGCACUGGCUCUGUGGACUCUGAGCCAGACCGAGGCCCCUGCAGUUGACGAGUGGUGCAGAGGUGUGGAACACCACCAAUGUGAGGCUCCGGCGCGCCAUCCACUGUCAGAAGGAUUGGGCGAUCCGCCACUACAGUGAGGCGCCUGUGUUCCAUCCUGGUGAUCGCAUCUGACUCUACACCAGGAACCUCCCACUCCGCCUGCCCUGCCGGAAGCUGAGCCCCCAGUUUGUGGGGCCCUUCAAGGCCGGUGCUUCCUGGUCCCCUGGCUGAUGCUGUCCUCGCGACACCCCUCCACCUCCCCUGGACAUCGAAGGGACCCCCACCUAUACUAUUUGGUCCCUACUGGACUCCUCAACUCAUGGGAGUCGACUCCAGUACCUGGUGGACUAGGAGGGCUACGGUCCUGAGGAGAGCGCUCUUGGGUCCCUGUGGCGGUCAACCUCUGUUGCUCUAGGAUGCCCACAUGCCUUACAAGACUCGUCUGAAGGUCCCCGGGUACCAGUUGUGUGUGUGUGUGUGUGUGUGUGUGUGUAUAUAAAUGAGACUGUUUAGUGCCAAAAAUAAGGGGUUAAAUACAUGCAAAAACAAAUUUAACAAAUGCUUCCUGAACUUUAUUAUAUCUCUCAGAUAUAGGACAGACACUUCAGAACAAACUUUCCUUUUUAUUUAUUUUAGGGACUCUGUUCCACUCUAGUGAAUCUGUUAUUCAAUGUGUUUGUAUGGACUAAUGACGGUAAGGCCACUUGUUGUAUAUGGAAAAACAUUUUUUUUUUUUUUUUCAAAAUGAAAAAGCUAAAUGGUCCUUGGUGUGACCUUCUCAAAACAAUUACAUUUAAGUGAAUAAAUAUGUGAUAUUAUAUAUAUCGUUUUUAAACAACGAAGAUGGCUUGAUUGCGUAGGUCUUCAUACCCGAGGUAAUAAUAGGUGGAAACCCAUUUGGCAGCAACUUUACACAGGAUAGCUGUCUUUCAGGAUGCAUUUCUUGUGCUGUAUCCCAUAGUGCAGGGGUAUUAAUCUGGCCCUCAAGACCUGUAACACUUCUGGUUUUCAUUCUUCCCCUCUAAUCAAAUUUUAUUGGUCACAUACCCAUGUUUAGCAGAUGUUAUUGCGGUUGUAGCGACUGAUUUAGAAAUACCUAUAAUCUGUGCCUAAUAUACAGUGCCUUUGGAAUUUAUUCAGACUCCUUAGCCUUAUUCUAAAAUGUUUUAAAUUGUUUUUUUCUCAAUCUAUGCACAAUACCCGAUAAUGACAAAGCAAAAAUAAAUGUAGAAAUUGUUGCUAAUUUAUUACAUUUUAAAUGGAAAUAUCACAUUUACAUAAAUAUUCAGACCCUUUACUCAGUACUUUGUUGAAGCCCCCUUGGCAGCGAUUACAGCCUCGAGUCUUCUUGGGUAUGAUGCUACAAGCUUGGCACACCUGUAUUUGGGUAGUUUCUCCCAUUCUUCUCUGAAGAUCCUCUCAAGCCCUGUCAGGUUGGAUGGGGAGAGUUGCUGCACAGCUAUUUUCAGGUCUCUCCAGAGAUGUUCAACCGGGUUCGAGUCCGAGCUCUGGCUAGGUCAGUCAAGGACAUUCAGAGA